GUCAACAGCAACACACUACGACCGGGAAUCAAGAAACUACAGGCUGUGAAUUGAGGUUGAUGCUGUCAGGAGGGAGUUCUUGUCGCUAGUCCUCACAGCACGUAAUGCUAGAUCUCUGCAGACCUCGAUGGUUUAUAUAUCGUUUAGUUUUGUUUUGCAUUUAUUGAUUAUGUGUGGACUUGGUUUGUUUGGAUACUUGGUUGUUGUAUGGAUUUUUGUGACGAUGAUGGAUUUUUAUUCGA